AGAAAUGCCUUUUACCUCCCACUGUGAUUCUGAGGCCCCCUCAGCCAUGUGGAAUUUGAAUACUUGGCAGGACAACAGGCAGACAAGGAGCAGCCUGGGCUACACCCUCCUCCAUCCAGCUUGGCAGGGAAGGUUGGGGCAGGGCCUCGCUAGGAGAUAGGGGCUAGAGGGCGAGGCCAGGGGCAGGGUUAGGCAUGGGGACAGCACCACGGUGGGGUCUUCCUGGCUCACUGUCCACUACCAGGUACUGGGAUCCCCAGUUAUUUUAUUGCCUCACCAUGAAAAGAAGUGAAAGCAUUCCCUAAACAUAAUUUCAUCAUUGUCUUUAUCUCUCUCCCGCCACAUUUCUUCUUUUCUAUUGCUCUUUCUCUCACAAAAGCAGGGGAUAUAUAUGAAACUUGCUAAGUGGUUCUAUUGAAGCUUCUUCCAUUAAGCUUGAGAGUCUUGGUGCCUCAGUUGAAACUUCCAAUUUAACAUCCUGACACACACUACUCCCUCUUCCUGUGAUCAUCAGAACAAGAUAAAACCUUGUGUGUCUGGAUAGUUCUCAUCUGUUAAGAUUCAGGU
rnacentral:lncRNA from 1 species